CCAAGACUAUCUGGAUGUGAACAUAAACGUCCAUAAGGUCUGGUAGUAUGUUAUUUUGCUAAUGUUCCUGGAAUGACCUGCUUGACAAUGGGAGGCUAUUAGCUCCAUUGUCAAGGAGCUAAGCAACACCUCUAGGUGACUCUCCUGCUGCAGCUCAGGAACAUUUGAAAGGCAAUAUACUCUUCUUUCAAUCUGCAGAGAAUGGAUUCACUCAAGAUCACCCAGAGACUGGAUCUCACUACUUGCCUAGCUCUUGAACUCCUGGCCUCAAGCAAUCCUCCUGCCUCAACCUCCCAAAGUGCUGGGAUUACAGGAGUGAGCCACUAUGCCCCACAUGAAUUUGCUUAGAAACCAUUUCUCCGGAUGUGCUCCCUCUUUCCUUGUCAUGCAGUGGUAUUCCAUUUCCUCCAUUUUUUACCAGAUUUGAAAGUGAGAAGAAGCAGGCAAGUAUUCCUAUUUUCUCUAUUUAGAGAAAACAGUCAAGCAAAUAAACCACCAAACCUAGAUGGGGAAGAGACUGGCCCAGGUGCUCCAGUGGCCAGCAGAAGUAUGUUUAUCUGAUUUCUUCCUCUACAACCAACCAGAGAAAACUCUCUACUUUUAAAGAGCUCAACUGAUUCGGUCAGGCUGCGGCAGGAUAAUCUUUCUUUUGCCAAAAAUCAUAGCAUGAAGACUGUGUACAUCAAGGGCCAGGAAUCAUGAAAGACAUCUAAAAAUUCUGCCUACUACAGUGACCGGGGUCAUUUAAGGGAUCAUUAAAAGAUGAUAUAAUAAUAUUUACUCUCAAGUGAAAGUGGCUUGGAGCUCUAGAGUUAGUUUAUAUUUAUAGAAACUGUCAAUUCGAUAAGUAACUUUCAGUUUCUGGAAAAAGUGAGUAUUGGUAUGCAGCAGGUCAAGCUAUCAUGCUUGAUUGCCUCUGUGAACUUAGAUUGCUUGACCUGCCUUAAUCUUAAUUCCCACAUUUAUUAACUUGGAAUUUAAUAAUGCUUAUCUCGUAGAGUCAUUCCAAGCAUAAGUUAUAAGAUUUCCUUUAAAGAAUUUUGCAAACCAUAAGGAAUGAAACAAAUGUGAGUCAUUGCUAUUUUCAUCAUGUAUUAUUACUUUUCUUUGAAGCCCUAAACAGCUGUAAUAUUUGGGUUUGUUUUAUUUAACCUAUUUAUGGAAAAGCAUAGCUUUAAUUUUCAAUUUAAGAAUGUUAUGAUGUCUGAUUUCGUGUAGGCUUUUUCAUUUUCUUUUCUUCUUCUGAUUCUUUUUUUAAUGUAGGAGUUACAAAGGUGCUCCUGUGCUUCUGAUGGCAGAUUUAGCACACGAAUUUCUGGGAGCAGCAUUUGUACAUCAAAGGAUGUUCUUCUUAAAUAAUCUGCUAAUUAAAUUAAAGCUGCUUCAGAGCAUCUUUUGCAGUAUGGAACUUUUUGAUACUGUGUUAAUGUUUUAUAAUCAAGUCUCCAAACGGAUUUCUCCAAAACACAUGGUGAAUGGGUGAAAUAUGGAGUUAGAGUUUGUGUGUGUAUUAAUUUUUAUGACAGGAAAAUAAAUAAGGGAAAAAGACUAGGCAUAGGAAUAAACACCUCUUUUACUUACCAUAAAAAAGUAGCUUCUUUAUUGUUAAAAAUCACUGAACAUGAACAUGAAAAGCAAAAGAAAAACACAGUCGAAGAGCCUCUUUAACUACCAUUCUUGUGGUAGAGGUAGGACUGAUAUGCAUGAAUAGUUUUCCAAAGGAUCAGAGGAAAGAAGGAAGAAUAUGUCCAGAACACGGCAAACUAAAUAAUCAUCAGUAAAAUGGAGUUUCAUUGAAUUAGUAUUCCCUGAAGGCAAAAUAUAAUAGUAGGAAGUCCUGUCAGUCUAAUUCAAG
rnacentral:lncRNA from 10 species